rnacentral:rRNA from 1 species
GAUCAACUCCGGUUGAUCCUGCCGGCGGGCACCGCUAUGGGAGUUCGCUUAAGACAUGCGAGUCGAGAGGUGCAAGACCUC